rnacentral:rRNA from 1 species
UACGGAGGGUGCAAGCGUUAUCCGGAUUUACUGGGUUUAAAGGGUGUGUAGGCGGGUCUUUAAGUCAGUGGUGAAAUCUCCGAGCUCAACUUGGAAACUGCCAUUGAUACUAUUGAUCUUGAAUUUUGUUGAGGUGGGCGGAAUAAGGUCAUGUAGCGGUGAAAUGCAUAGAUAUGACUUAGAACCCCGAUUGCGAAGGCAGCUCACUAAACAAAUAUUGACGCUGAGGCACGAAAGCGUGGGGAAUCAACAGGUAGUUAGAAAACCC